rnacentral:lncRNA from 1 species
UCAGCGCUUCGUCCAGUGCCUCAGCGGUUGGAGAAACAGCGCGGGUCAGUGUAAAGAGCCCGGGCUUGGGAGUCAGAGGUCAUGAGUUCAAAUUCGGCCUCAGCCGCUUGUCCUCUGUGUGACUUUGGGCAAACCACUUCACUUCUCUGGGCCUCGGUGACCUCAUCUGUAAAAUGGAGAUGGAGACUGUGAGCCUCACGUGGGACAACCUGAUGACCUCGUAUCCCCCCACCCCGGGGCUUAGAACAGUGCUUGGUACAUAGUAAGCUCUUAACAAAUGGCAUCAUUAUUAUUACAGCGCCUGGCACGUAGUAGGCGCCGAACGUUAGGGUUGUUGUUGUUGUUACAAUGCAAAGGAGGAAGGGGGGGAGAAUGAGGAUGGGGUGGUACCGGGGGAGAAGAUGGAUAGGAGGUCGGCGGGGGGUGGGAGGGGGAGGCGGGGAAGAGGGAGGAGGAGGGGGGGAGGGAGGAGGGGGAGAGGGAGGAGGGGGAGGAGGGAAGAGGAGGGGGAGGAAGGGAGAAGGGAGGAGGAGGGGGAAGAGGAGGAGGGGGAGCAGGGAGGAGGAGGGGGAGGAAGAUGAGCGGGAGGAGGGGGAGGAGGAGGAGGGGGAGGAGGGAAGAGGAGGGGGGAAGGGGAGGAGGAGGGAGGAGGGGGAAGAGGAGGAGGAGAAGGAGGAAGAGGAGGAGGAGGAGGGGGACGAGGAGGAGGAGGAGGGGGAGAAGGGGGAGCAGGAGGAGGGGGGGGAGGAGGGGGAGGAGGCGGAGAAGGGGGAGGCUCCCGUGUCUUUCCGGGACGCCCCACUCUGAGGGACACACUGUGCGGGGCAGGCCGGGGGGCGAGCCCCGCACCCGUUUUCCGGGCAGCCCGCCUCCCCGCCUCUCACCCUCAGCUACACGCUGCGGCCCCGACCCCGUCCUGGCUCCUGGCUCCCGGGUCCAGAAGACACAAAAAGACAAUUCACGUGUCCGGAUUGCAGCCAAGACUUCCGGCGUGAGCAGAUCUGCCUCUCCCACAUUUGCUUCUUUCAUACCCAAGAGAAAAGUCCCUUCCCACAUUGGAACCUUUGGACCAGAGGGUCCUGAAGAGUGGGUCUCUAGAGAAGG